GCGAGAUAAAACGCCUUCGCCACCGCUUCCUCUAAUGCAAUGGGCCUUUAUUUCCAUUACUUUAUAUUUGAUUUUGCAUCUCAGCAGCCACCCACAGGCACAAAAACACCGCCUGGUUCGGCUGCCUUGAUUAUUGUAAUGUGCUAACCAGCUUCUAGGGUACGUCUCUCACUGGUUCCGCUCAUGAAUUCACACAUUUUGGAUCAGAUUGUGGUCCUGAAUGGACUGAGCCGACCCGCCAAAGGAAUGAACUUCAUUUAAUCAUCCUCAAAGCCGAGAGAGCAAAGGGGAGGCCGGUUGGGACAGCCGUAUCCAUAGCAACAGAGGUUGAUCAGUUCUGUGGAUGCGAUGCGGAGCAUCAGUUACGUAAGGCGACAAAACCCAUCUUGCCAGAGUGAUAAACCCAGAAAUGUUUUCAUGAUGG
ensembl:lncRNA